rnacentral:ncRNA from 1 species
CUGAGAGUAUCCGAAAGGUCUCUCAGUCUCUUUAACCGUAUAUUUAGUUCUAGUUAAAAGAGACUAAUGCCACGAUUUGCUUAUUCGAAGAUAUAUAGUAGAAUAAUUUAUCUUGAAUUAACAAGAUACUCAAGAGCCUUGAGCCAGAGUGGAAAAUUCUGAGCCACUGAUCA